GAGUUUGAUCCUGGCUCAGAACGAACGCUGGCGGCGUGGAUUAGGCAUGCAAGUCGUGCGGGAACUUACAGAGUGGAGGCUUCGGCCAAAGCAUUGUAAGGGAGAGUGGCGAAAGGGUGAGUAACACGUGGGUAAUUUGCCCUCGAGAUCGGGAUAACUUCGCGAAAGCGGGGCUAAUACCGGAUAAGACCACUAUGAACAUAAGUUCAGGUGGUAAAAGGCGGCCUAGGUCUUCGGACUGCUGUCACUUGAGGAGAAGCCCGCGUCCUAUUAGCUUGUUGGUGAGGUAACGGCUCACCAAGGCGAUGAUGGGUAGCUGGUCUGAGAGGAUGAUCAGCCACACUGGGACUGAGACACUGCCCAGACUCCUACGGGAGGCUGCAGUCGAGAAUCAUUCGCAAUGGGCGAAAGCCUGACGAUGCGACGCCGCGUGAGCGAUUAAGGCCUUCGGGUUGUAAAGCUCUGUCGCGUGGGAAGAAUGGUGAUUAGGUUAAUAGCCUUUUUAUUUGACGGUACCAUGUAAGGAAACCUCGGCUAACUCCGUGCCAGCAGCCGCGGUAAUACGGAGGAGGUAAGCGUUGUUCGGAUUUAUUGGGCGUAAAGGGCGUGUAGGCGGUUAUGUUAGUCAGACGUGAAAUCCCUCUGCUUAACAGAGGAACUGCGUUUGAAACUGCAUAACUUGAGAUCAGAAGAGGAGAGCGGAAUUCUUGGUGUAAGAGUGAAAUCUGUAGAUAUCAAGAGGAACACCGGUGGCGAAGGCGGCUCUCUGGUCUGAUACUGACGCUGAGGCGCGAAAGCUAGGGGAGCGAACGGGAUUAGAUACCCCGGUAGUCCUAGCCGUAAACGAUGGACACUAGGUGUGGGGGGUUAAUACCUUCUGUGCCGAAGUUAACGCAUUAAGUGUCCCGCCUGGGGAGUACGGCCGCAAGGCUGAAACUCAAAGGAAUUGACGGGGGCCCGCACAAGCGGUGGAGCAUGUGGUUUAAUUCGAUGCUACGCGAAGAACCUUACCAGGACUUGACAUGCUGGAAGUAGAAACCCGAAAGGGUAACCACUCGUAUCCAGUCGAGAGCCAGCACAGGUGCUGCAUGGCUGUCGUCAGCUCGUGUCGUGAGAUGUCGGGUUAAGUCCCAUAACGAGCGCAACCCUUGUCCUUAGUUGCAACCUGACCUUCGGGUUAGGGCACUCUAAGGAGACUGCCGUAGUUUAAUACGGAGGAAGGUGGGGAUGACGUCAAGUCAGUAUGGUCCUUACGUCCUGGGCUACACACGUGCUACAAUGGCCUGUACAAAGGGUUGCCAAACCGUGAGGUGGAGCCAAUCCCAAAAAGCAGGUCCCAGUUCGGAUUGAAGGCUGCAACUCGCCUUCAUGAAGUCGGAAUCGCUAGUAAUCCUGGAUCAGCUAUGCCAGGGUGAAUACGUUCCCGGGCCUG
rnacentral:rRNA from 1 species